rnacentral:rRNA from 1 species
GACGAACGCUGGCGGCGCGCUUAACACAUGCAAGUCGAGCGAAGCGGCGGACGGGUGAGUAACACGUGAGUAACCUGCCUUAGACAUUGGGAUAGCCUCGGGAAACCGGGAUUAAUACCAAAUGGUCUAAGAUGGACUCGCGUCCCAUUAGUUAGUUGGUGAGGUAACGGCCCACCAAGGCGACGAUGGGUAGCCGGCCUGUGAGGGAGAACGGACACAUGUGAAGGGAGAAACAGUGCAAACUAGACGGGAGGCAGCAGUGGGGAAUAGUGCACAAUGGAGGGAACUCUGAAGCAUCGACGCCGCGAGAACGAAGAAAGCUGUCAGGGCGUAGAGUACUUUUAUAUGGGAAGCGGUACCAAAAGAAAAAGCCCCGGCUAACUACGUGCCAGCAGCCGCGGUAAUAC